rnacentral:lncRNA from 1 species
CCGAUUUUUCAACAAGCCAAGAUCUGCACCGUCUUCUCGCUCAAGCCGCUGCUGCUAGGAUUUUUUUCUCCACCACUACAGUGGAGGUGAUGGAGGAAGGAAUUUGCAGUGGAGGGUGCAGCGUGCAGGAGGCGGCGCAAGAGGGUGGAGAUGGUGAGGUGCGGUAGUGGAAGCGGUGGAGGCGUGAGGGGGAAGCGGAGUCGCCGCGCCGUCGCCGUGGAAGAGGAGAGGCGGCGAUGACCGAGAUCGAGAGUGAGUGCAGAGAGAGGGCAGCGGAGGAGGAUGGAUGGACGCGAAGGCGCCACGCCGUCGCCGUGGAAGAGGAUAGCCGGCAAGGGUGUAGCAGUCUCCGUCGCCGUGAGAGAGAGAGGGGGCAGCGGAGGAGAGAG